CAAAGACUCAGACACAACUGAGAGACUGAACUGAACUGAACUGAACUGAAUGCUUUACUAUGGGAGGGCACAGGAUGAUGUGGGAUAGUACAGAAAGAAAUCACAACCCACACUGGAAAGUGGGGGAUGGAAGAAUGGGCCAGAGAGAGAUGUUCCUUACAGAAAUGCCUUAUAGCAGAAGGUGGGGAGAUGUCAUAAAGGAAAAGAUGAUACGAGAGCAUGGUUGGAUAGAGAACAAAGCAGAGGACUAGAAUGCCAACUGCAGAAACAUUCUGGUGAGGAAGGGAGUAAAGGACUCCCUACACCUGGGGAAGACAGUCCAGAGAGGCAAGAAAUGAAGAAAGAAAGAAAAGUUAAGAUGGAGUUGUGAAAUUAACUUGCUCUAUAUACAGUGAUUUAGAUAUCUACCAGGAUAUAUCCGUUGAGUCUUUUUA
rnacentral:lncRNA from 1 species